rnacentral:rRNA from 1 species
UACGUAGGGGCCUAGCGUUGUCCGGAUUUAUUGGGCGUAAAGAGCUCGUAGGCGGUUUGGUGAGUCGGGUGUGAAAUCUCCACGCUCAACGUGGAGGGGCCACCCGAUACUGCCAUGACUAGAGUCCGGUAGGGGAGUGUGGAAUUCCCGGGUGUAGCGGUGAAAUGCGCAGAUAGUCGGGGAGGAACACCAGUAGCGAAGGCGGCUCA